AUAGUGCGAACGUAGACAUGGACGACACGGGUCAAAGUGUAGUAUCUGUUCUUAUCAGCUUAAUAUUUGAUACGGGUCGUAUUUGGACCCAAGAUAUUAAACUUAGUUUUACAAGUUGGCGGGGUGCCUGAAGCCUGCGUCACCUCCACAGCGGGUCGGCCCGGUAUUGCACUAUCUUCAGGAUUAUUGGUCUACGGACA